GCUGCGGGUCUGAAGGAUCUUCGGAAGACAUUAUUCUGAAGCAUUUUUGGAAGUGUCUGUGUCUUGAUGAUGGAGGAAAGUGAAGCAGAUGAGGCAAGUGGGGGCGGAGCCUCGCCCAUGGCCCGUCUGCUGCAGACACGGUCAUCCAAGGACAUCAUUGCCUGGCUGACUGCUGGCAGCACCACUAAGAAGAAGGACUGUGCCCAGAAGAAUGGAACCAACACAAACUCAUGGAAAGAGUUUCAGCACAUGCGAC